UACAGAGGUCCCGAGCGUUGUUCGGAUUCACUGGGCGUAAAGGGUGCGUAGGUGGUGAGGUAAGUCGGAUGUGAAAUCUCCAAGCUCAACUUGGAAACUGCAUUGGAAACUACCUUGCUUGAGGAUUUGAGGGGGGAUUGGAAUACUUGGUGUAGCAGUGAAAUGCGUAGAUAUCAAGUGGAACACCAGUGGCGAAGGCGAAUCCCUGGAAAAUACCUGACACUGAGGCACGAAAGCUAGGGGAGCAAACAGG
rnacentral:rRNA from 1 species